GGAGGGGAGGAGGCCAAGGAGGUAGAGGGGGAGGCCAAGGAGGUAGAGGGGGAAGCCAAGGAGGAACAGGAGGAGCCCCUCGUCCAACAGAUUCAUCAGCAAGUGCUAAAACUAUAAAUUAUUUUAAUGUUAAAUGUAGGAACCUUAAUUAUAGUUCUAAAUAAAAUCUAAAUAAAAA
rnacentral:lncRNA from 1 species